rnacentral:antisense_RNA from 1 species
AUAGCUUACAUAUGCAAAAGGUGGGAUUUGGGAAGCAAUGCUAAGCAGUGGAAUGGACAUCGACAUAGAGAGAUCAGCUCCACACUUAUACUCUGCCACUCAACUUCCCCAUGUGACUUGAGGAUCACUCUAACUCCAAAACAUAGCAAGCUCGCGGAACAUCAUUCAUGCAAAGUAUUCCAAGGAGCCCCUUGAAGCAACAGAAUGGAUUUCUCUUCUAUGGUGGAAUGGCACCCUGGAUGAUUAAAACUGUAGCAGCAAACAAAACCUCCAUCAAGUAAGAAUUCAGAGUGUGAGAUAUCACACACAGCCACACGUGGAUCUUUAUAUACGUGACAAUGUGUUUCGUUGUAUUUUUGCUUUAAAAGUAUGUAUUGAGCAUUUCUUCUAGGUCCUCAGUAACAUCUUUUUAAGAAAAAUAAAUGCUUAGGGAAUUGUUUUAUAUUAAA